GAUGAAGAACGUAGCGAAAUGCGAUAAGUAAUGUGAAUUGCAGAAUUCAGUGAAUCAUCGAAUCUUUGAACGCACAUUGCGCCCGUCAGUAUUCUGGCGGGCAUGCCUGUUCGAGCGUCAUUACGCCCCUCAAGUCCCCUGUGGACUUGGUGUUGGGGAUCGGCGAGGCCGGUUUUCCAGCACAGCCGUCCCUUAAAUUAAUUGGCGGUCUCGCCGUGGCCCUCCUCUGCGCAGUAGUAAAACACUCGCAACAGGAGCCCGGCGCGGUCCACUGCCGUAAAACCCCCCAACUUUUUAUAGUUGACCUCGAAUCAGGUAGGACUACCCGCUGAACUUAAGCAUAUCAAUAAGCGGAGGA
rnacentral:misc_RNA from 1 species